rnacentral:lncRNA from 1 species
AUGCGGGCAGGUCUUUCCUGGGCUGUUCUUGUGAUAGUGAAUAAGUCUCAUGAGAUUUGGUGGUUCUAUAAGGGGGAGUUUCCCAGCACAAGUUCUUUCUCUUGCUGCCACCAUGUGGGACAUGCCUUUCACCUUCUGUCACGAUUGCGAGACCUCUCCAGACUUGUGCAAAUGAAAAAGGUACUAUAUACAAAUUAAUAUGUGAACAGUCCUGGAAGGAUUGUUGGUAAGUUAUGAGACAUAAAUUGCAUGAAGAG